rnacentral:rRNA from 1 species
UGGGGAAUUUUGGACAAUGGGCGAAAGCCUGAUCCAGCAAUGCCGCGUGUGUGAAGAAGGCCUUCGGGUUGUAAAGCACUUUUGUCCGGAAAGAAAUCCUUGGCUCUAAUACAGUCGGGGGAUGACGGUACCGGAAGAAUAAGCACCGGCUAACUACGUGCCAGCAGCCGCGGUAAUACGUAGGGUGCAAGCGUUAAUCGGAAUUACUGGGCGUAAAGCGUGCGCAGGCGGUUUGCUAAGACCGAUGUGAAAUCCCCGGGCUCAACCUGGGAACUGCAUUGGUGACUGGCAGGCUAGAGUAUGGCAGAGGGGGGUAGAAUUCCACGUGUAGCAGUGAAAUGCGUAGAGAUGUGGAGGAAUACCGAUGGCGAAGGCAGCCCCCUGGGCCAAUACUGACGCUCAUGCACGAAAGCGUGGGGAGCAAAACAGGAUUAGAUACCCUGGUAGUCCACGCCCUAAACGAUGUCAACUAGUUGUUGGGGAUUCAUUCCUUAGUAACGUAGCUAACGCGUGAAGUUGACCGCCUGGGGAGUACGGUCGCAAGAUUAAAACUCAAAUGAAUUGACGGGGUCAUAGCUGUUUCCU